AUUCUGAUUUCAAUUCUUUCGGAUAAAUACCCAGAAGUAGAAUUGCUGGAUCAUUUGGUAGUUUGAUUUUUAAUUUUUUUUGAGGAACAUCCAUGCUGUUUUCCAUAACUGCUGCACCAUUUUACAUUCCUAACACCAGUGCAGAGGGUUUCAAUUUCCCUGCAAUCUCACCAACACUUGCUAUUUUUAAUAAUAUCCAUCCCAAGAGGUGUGAGCUGAUAUCUUAUUGUAGUUUUGGUUUUCAUUUCUUUGAUGAUCUGAACAUCUUUUCAUAUAGCUCUUGGCUAUUUGUAUGUCUUCCUUGGAGGUAUGCCUAUUCAAGUUUUUGGCCCAUUUUUAAAUAGAGUUAUGAGGUUUGUUGUUGUUGUUUUGCUAUUGAGUUUCAGGAGUUCUUAUAUAUUUUGGAUAUUAACCCCUUAUCAGAUAUGUGGUUUAUAAGUAUUUUCCUCUAUUCCAUAGGAUGCCUUCUUGCUAUUGAUUUGUUUCCUUUGCUAUGCAGCUUUUAGUUUGAUGUAGUUCCACAGGUAUAUUUGUUGCUUGUGCUUUUGGUGUCAUAGUGAAGAAAUUGUUGCUAAUACCAAUUUCAUGAAACUUUCCCCUUAUGUUUUCUCCUGGGAGUUUUUGGUUUUAGAUGUUGUGUUUAAGUCUUUAAUUCAUUUUACAUUGAUUUUUGUGUAUGAUAUUUCCAGAUAUAUUCUUGAAUACAUUUUCCCAAUGUGUAUUCUUGGUAUCCUUAUCAAAAAUCAAUUGACUGUGUAUGCAUAGAUUUAUUUCUGGGCUCUCUAUAAUCUUCCAUUAGUCUAUAUGUCUGCCUUUAUGCCAGUACCAUACAGUUUUAAUUACUGUAACUAUGUGACAUAUUUUGAAAUCAGAAAGCAUGAUGCCUCUAACUUUGUGUUUCUCUUUCAACAUUGUUUUGGCUAUUCAGGAUCCUUUUGGAUCCAUAUGAAUUUCAGUAUUGUUUUUACUAUUUUUGCAAAAAGUGCCAGUGAUAUGGGAUUUCUUUCUGUUUAUUUAUGCCUUCCUUAAUUUCUUUCAUUAAUGUUUUAUAGUUUUCGAUGUAUAAGUCUUUCACCUUCUGGUUAAGUUUAUUUCUAAGUAUUUUAUUGUUAUUGAUGCUAUUGUAAAUGGGAUUUAAAAAAUAUUUUUUAUUUAAAAAAUUCUUCUAAUUUUUUUUAUUUUUGAGAAAGAAACUGAAUGUGAGUGGAGGAGGGGCAGAGAGAGAGGGAGACACAGAAUCUGAAUCAGGCUCCGGGCUUUGAGCUGUUGGCACAGAGCCCAAAACAGGGCUCAAACUCACAGACUGAGAGAUCGUGAUCUGAGCUGAUAUCAAGAGUCUGAAGUUUAACUGACUGAGCCACCCAGUCACCCCAGGGGAUUGUUUUUUAAAUAUCCUGUUCAGAUUUCAUUGUAUAGAAAUGCAACUGAUUUUUGUAUGUUAAUUUUGUAUCCUGCAACUUUAUUGAAUUUUUUAGUACCAACGGUUUUUCAGUGGUCUUUAGGAUUUCCUACCUAUAAGAUAAUACCAUCCGCAAACAGGUAAGUUUACUUCUUUUCCAUUUAUUUCUUUUUGCCUUUUAUUUCUUCUUGCCUAACUGCUCUGCCUAGGACUUCCAGUACUAUGUUGAAUGAAAGUGGCAAGAGCGGCCAUCCUUGUCGUAUUCCUGAUCUUAGAGGAAGAGUUUCAGUUUUUCAUUGUUGAGUAUGAUGUUAGCUGUGAGCUUUUCAUAUAUAGCCUCUGUUAUGUUGAUGCAAUUUCCUUCUACUUCUACUUUGUUGAGAGUUAUUAAUCAUGCAAGUAUGUUGAAUUUUGUCAAGUGUCUUUUCUGCAUCUAUUGAGAUGAUCAGCUAUUUUUUCCCUUUACCCUGUUAAUGUGGUAUAUCACAUUGAUUUGGUUAUGUUCAACUGAACUUGCAUCCUAGGGAAAAUUCCCAUUUGGUUAUGUAUGUGAUCCUUUUAAUAUAUUGUCAAAUUUAGUUUGCUUUUAUUUUGUUGAGUAUCUUUUUCAUCUUUUCCUUUCAGCCUCUGUAUGUCCUUAAAGUGAGUUUCUUGGAGACAGCAUAUAGUUGGAUCUUUUUGUUUGUUUCCCUUUAAACAACUCUAUGUAUUUUGACUGGGGAGUUUAAUGUAUUUACAUUUAAGUAAUUAUUGAUAGAGAAGGACUUCUUAUUGCCAUUUUAUGAAUUGUGUGAUAUUAUCUUGUAAGUCUUUUGUCCCUUCUUCUCUCUUUUGCUGUCUUCCCUUGUGGUUCAUUAAUUUUUAAAUUUAUUAUUAUUAUUCUUUUAAUAACAUGCUUUGAUUGCUUUCUCAUUUCCUCACUUUCUUUGCUGUAUUUUCUAUAGGUAUUUUCUUUGUAAUUACCAUGGAGCUUACAUAAAACUUCUUAAACUUUUAACAUUCUGCUUUAAGUUGACAAAAACUUCAAUCACAAAACUAUACCUUUAUGUCUCCCCCUAAAACACUUUAUGUUAUAGAUGUCAAAUAUUACAACCUUUUUUUUUUUACUGUGUAUCUACUGCAUGUAUUUUUAUAGUCAUAGUUUUUUUUGUACUUUUGUAUUUUAACUUGUACACUUGAACUAAAAGUGAUAUAUACACCACCAUUACAGUAUUACAGGUUCUGCAUUGCUAUACAUGUUUACAUUUACCAGCAAGUUUUAUGGUUCAUACCCCUCCCUCAUAUGCUUUUGUGUUGCUGUUUAGAAUCCUUUUGUUUCAAGUUGAAGAACUUCCUUCAGCAUAUCUCAUCUUCUGGAGCAGCAGCACACCCAUGACCUUGUCCUCAGUGAUCCCCAGAGGUCUAGAGUAUGCCAGGUCCCAUCCGUGCUCAGAGAUAGGGAUAAUCUUGGAGCUGGGGAUCUUCCUGAUUGGGCUGUGCUGAAUCAUGGGUAGGAGCUGUCGUGAGACUGAACUGGCAUCACUGGGUUACAGAAGCUUUAAGAGGACAACCUUGCUUCACAGUGGACCUACUUAGGCAUUCUUAAUGGCAUCACAAUUACCAGUUUAACCCAGCUGACUACCUGCAUGAAUCCAGCUGUCUGUCUGUGCUUCCGUUCCACCAUCUGAGCCUCUGAUGGAGGAAACCAAUCAGGCGAAAAGCUUGGUGACAUUAGGCGUUCAUAAAUCUCAACCCAGAAUGAACCCUCAUCUCUGCCUAGCCAUGCUAUUGUUUCUUUGGUCCGUUUGCUUUCUCCCUUCCACAAAGAUUAGUUCAAACUCCCUUUACUCUCUUCCCUCUAACAACUUUACAUAAGCAUCUGGAUUUCCACCCAUCUCUGUUCUAGCCUGUUACAGUAAAGGAGUGUUUCCUCCCAUUUAGCUAAGAUCAAUCUCUCCAACAGUGUCUGAUCCUCCCAUCUUCUUUCCCUUUCACUCCUAACUCAGCCUCAUGCUGUCACCUAUUUAUUCCCUCUUCCCUGUCUGUGGCCUCUCGAUUCUUUUGCAAAACAAACAAACCUCCUGAAACCCGUCAUUAAAAACAAAGCCAACAAAAUCCUUCAUCUUAUUUUCCCUUCUAACAAUGGCCAUAUGUCUCUCCUCCUCUUCACAGCCUAAUUUCUUAAGUCAGAUGAUUUUGUAAGGGUAAAUAGAGACAAUCCUCAUGGAUGCAGAAGGGUACAGUUAUUGAGAAGUGAAAGAGCUUGAAGAAAACAUGGAGAUAGCUGUAGACUUCCACAGGGUACCUGGGUUGUGUGGCUAGAUUUAAUCUGAGGGGCCGUAGGUAUGCUUGCCUGUGGUGAACUAGGCAAUAUGAACAAUAUGGCAUAAGUGUGGGUCUGGAAUCAGUUUCUUUACUUGAACAUUUUAAAUGACAACAUUUACUUUGCAGCAUUGUUGUGGGGAUUAAAUGAGCUAAUGGGUAUAAAGCUACUUACCAUGGUACAUGCCCAGUAAAUUUUACCUAUCAUUAUAUUUGUAAUUGUAAUUAUGUUGUCAGAUGGGCAGAUGUGUGCAACCAAAUUUGAAAGCCUACCUAUUCAAUACAGAAAUAAAUAUCAAGUCACACAGCUGUCUUUGAACUACAUGUGGGCUAGUGUUUUAGACAUUCAUUCCUUUAUUCACAAAGGAACAUGCAUCAGAAACUUUGCUAGGUGUUAGGGAUUACAAAGAAGAAUAAGACAAAAUCUGCUUUCAAUGAUCUCUCAGGGCAGUCAAGGCAUAAGCAUGUAAUUAUAGUGUGGUAAGUGCAGUGAUUGAUCAACACAAGGUAUUUUGGGAGUUGAAAGAAGGAAGCGUACAGCCUGGGGUGAGGUACAUCAAGUCUGGAGCUGGUUCUUAAAGUGAGUAGAUAGAUGUGAGCAGAAGAAAGAGAGGAGGAAAGCAGGGAAAAGAUUUUAAAGUCCCUCUGUCUAUGCAGUUCAACUCAAAGACUCUGGAAUUUCAUGUGUUGCUUAAUUUAAAAAAGUUUUACUACUAAAAAGUUAUUUGUAACUCAUUGGCCUAUUUGAAUGAUAUGUAAAGAACAAGGUAUUACACGAUAAUAGGAGGAUGAGUCAAAACUUUAUUGCUUUGGGAGUGGAACAUACCAGGAAUUGCUGUAGGCAGAGUGACACAACAUAUUUUAAGGAACCCAAUGGCUGGGAGCCCAGAUAUGCUACUACCACUGAUGGAAUUGCCUAGAUGAUGUCACCAUGGUUUUCAGCUUUAAUGGUGCAGAAACUUGAUUGUCAGCUAAUAAGAGAUGACCAAUCUCUUGAGGCCUAAUUCAAUUUAAAAAUAAGAGAUAGGGGCAUCUGGGUGGUUCAGUUGUUUGAGUGUCUGACUUUGGCUCAGGUCAUGAUCUCAGUUCAUGAGUUCGAGCCCCGCGUCAGGCUCUGUGCUGACAGCUCAGAACCUGGAGCCUGCUUCAGAUUCUGUGUCUCCCUCUCUCUGCCCCUUCCCUGCUCAUGCUGUCUCUCUCUGUCUCUCAAAAAUAAGCUUUAAAAAAAUUAAUAAAAAAACAAGAGAUAAAUUUAUAAGCUACAAUGUAUUCACUAACAAUAAGAAAUAUGAAAUUUGCACGAAUUGAAAUACUCACCCUGUCAUGAGUGGUACAUUUCCUUCAUACAGACAUGCUAAAUACUUGUCUCCUGGGAUCCUGAAAUCAGAACAAAAGGAGUUAGCUAGUGGGCAUCUGUCUGGUUCACACAAGCAGCAAGGGAAAAAAAGUCCCUAACCUACAAGGGAAGACAGAUCAGGUUUACAGCAGACCUAUCCACAGAAACUUGGCAGGCCAGAAAGGAGUGGAAGGAUAUAUUCAAUGUGCUGAAUCAGAAAAAUAUGCAGCCAAGAAUUCUUUAUCCAGCAAGGCUUUCAUUCAAAAUAGAAGGAGACAUAAAAAGUUUCUCAGACAAACAAAAAUUAAAGGAGUUUGUGACCACUAAACCAGCCCUGCAAGAAAUUUUAAGGGGGACUCAAUGAGGGGAGAAAAAAAUGAAAAUAAGUAAAUAAAUAAAUAAAUACCAAAAGCAACACAGAUUAGAAAGGAGCAGAGAACACCAGAAACUCCAACUCUACAAGCAUCAUAAUGGCAAUAAAUUCAUAUCUUUCACUACUCACUCUAAACAUCAAUGGACUCAAUGCUCCAAUCAAAAGACAUAGGGUAACAGAAUGGAUAAGGAAACAAGAUCCAUCUAUAUGCUGUUUACAAGAGACCCACUUUAGUCCUAAAGACACCUUCAGAUUGAAAAUAAGGGGAUGGAGAACCAUCUAUCAUGCUAAUGGUCAACAAAAGAAAGCUGGAGUAGCCAUACUUAUAUCAGACAAUCUAGACUUGAAAAUAAAGACUGUACCAAGAGAUGCAGAAGGGCAUUAUAUCAUAAUCCAGGGGUCUAUCCACCAAGAAGACCUAACAAUUGUAAAUAUUUAUGUGCCCAAAUAUAUAUAUAUAUUUAAACACCCAAAUAUAUAAAUCAAUUAAUCACAAACAUAAAGAAACUCAUCAAUAGUAAUAUCAUAAUAGUAGGAGACUUCAACACCCCACUCACAGCAAUGGACAGAUCAUUUAAUCCAAAAAUCAACAAGGAAACAAUGGCUUUGAAUGACACACUGGAUCAGAUGGACUUAACAGAUAUAUUCAGAACAUUUCAUCCUAAAGCAGCAGAAUACACUUUCUUCUCCAGUGCACAUGGAAGGUUCUCCAGAAUAGACCAUAUACCGGGACACAAAUCAGCCCUAAUAAGUACAAAAACACCGAGAUCAUACCAUACAUAUUUUCAGAUCACAACGCUAUGAAACUUGAAAUCAACCACAAGAAAAAAUUUCGAAAGGUAACAAAUACUUGGAGACUGAAGAACAUCCUACUAAAGAAUGAAUGGGCCAACCAAGAAGUUAAAGAGGAAAUUAAGAAGUAUAUGGAAGUCAAUGAAAAUGAUAACACCACAACCCAAAACCUCUGGGACACAGCAAAGUUGGUCAUAAGAAGAAAGUAUAUAGCAAUCCAGGCCUUCUUAAAGAAGGAAGAAAGAUCUCAGGUACACAACGUAACCUUACACCUUAAGGAACUGGAAAAAGAACAGCAAAUAAAACCGCAAAUCAGCAGAAGACAGGAAAUAAUAAAGAUUAGAGCAGAAAUUAAUGCUAUUGAAACCAAAAAACAGUAGAACAGAUCAAUGAAACCGGAAGCUGGUUCUUUGAAAGAAUUAACAAAAUUGAUAAAGCACUAGCCAGUCUGAUCAAAAAGAAAAAGGAAAGGACCCAAAUAAAUAAAAUCAAGAAUGAAAGAGGAGAGAUCACAACCAACACAGCAGAAAUAAAAACAAUAUUAUGAACAAUUAUAUGCUAAUAAAAUGGGCAAUCUGGAAGAAAUGGACAAAUUCCUAGAAACAUAUACACUACCAAAACUGAAACAGGAAGAAAUAGAAAAUUUGAACAGACCCAUAACUAGUAAGGAAAUUGAAUUAGUUAUCAAAAAUCUCCCAAAAAACAGAGUCCAGGGCCAGAUAGCUUUCCAGGGAAAUUCUGCCAAAGGAAUUCUACUUUAAGGAAGAGUUAACUAACACCUAUUCUCUUGAAGGUGUUUCAAAAAUUAGAAAUGGAAGGAAAACUUCCAAACUCUUUCUAUGAAGCCAACAUUACCUUGAUUCUAAAACCAGACAGGGACCCCACUAAAAAGUAGAACUAUAGACCAAUUUCCCUGAUGAAUAUGGAUGCAAAAAUCCUCAACAAGAUAUUAGCCAACCGGAUCCAACAAUACAUUAAAAAAGUUAUUCACCAUGACCAAGUGGAAUUUAUACCUGGGAUGCAGGGCUGGUUCAAUAUCUGCAAAACAAUUAAUGUGAUUCAUCACAUCAGUAAAGAAAGGACAAGAACCACAUGAUCCUCUCAAUAGAUGCAGAGAAAACAUUUGACAAAAUACAGCAUUGUUUCUUGAUACAAACCCUCAAGAAAGUAGGGAGAGAAGGAUCAUACCUCGAGAUCAUAAAAGCCAUAUGUGAAUGACCCAAUGCUAAUAUCAUCCUCAAUGGGGAAAAACUGAGAGCUUUCCCCCUAAGGUCAGGAACAAGAUAAGGAUGUCCACUCUCAUCACUGUUAUUCAACAUAGUAUUGGAAGUCUUAACCUCUGCAAUCAGACAACACAAAGAAAUAAAAGGCAUCCAAAUCAGCCAGGAGGAGGUCAAACUUUCACUCUGCACAGAAGACAUGAUACUCUAUAUGGAAAACCCAAAAGAUUCCAUCAAAAAACUGCUAGAAUUGAUUCAUGAAUUCAGCAAAGUUGCAGGAUAUAAAAUCAACACACAGAAAUUGGUUGCAUUCCUAUACACCAACAAUGAAGCGACAGAAAGAGUAAUCAAGGAAUCGAUCCAAUUUACAAUUGCACCAAAACCCAUAAAAUACCUAGGAAUAAAACUAACCAAAGAGGCGAAAAAUCUAUACACUGAAAACUAUAGAAAGCUUAUGAAAGAAAUUGAAGAAGACACAAAAAAAAUGGAAAAAGAUCCCAUGCUCCUGGAUAGGAAGAACAAAUAUUGUUAAAAUGUCGAUACUACCCAAAGCAAUCUACAUAUUCAAUGUAAUCCUUAUCAAAAUAACACCAGAAUUCUUCACAGAGCUAGAACAAAUAAUCCUAAAAUUUGUAUGGAACCAGAAAAGACCCCAAAUAGCCAAAGCAAUCUUGAAAAAGAAAACCAAAGCAGGAGGCAUCAUAAUCCCAGACUUUAAGCUAUACUACAAAGCUGUAAUCAUCAAGACAGUAUGGUACUGGCACAAGAACAGGCACUCAGAUCAAUGGAACAGAAUAGAGAACCCAGAAGUGGACCCACAAACGUAUGGCCAACUAAUCUUUGACAAAGCAGGAAAGAAUAUCCAAUGGAAUAAAGACAGUCUCUUCAGCAAGUGGUGCUGGGAAAACUGGACAGCAACAUUCAGAAGAAUGAACCUGGACCACUCUCUUACACCAUACACAAAAUAAACUCAAAAUGGAUGAAAGACCUAAAUGUAAGACAGGAAGCCAUCAAAAUCCUUGAGGAGAAAGCAGGCAAAAACCUCUUUGACCUUGGCCACAGCAACUUCUUACUCAACACAUCUCUGGAGGCAAGAGAUACAAAAGCAAAAAUCUACUGGAACCUCGUCAAAAUAAAAAGCUUCUGCACAGCAAAGGAAACAAUCAGCAAAACUAAAAGGCAACUGACAGAAUGGGAGAAGAUAUUUUCAAAUGACAUAUCAGAUAAAGGGUUAGUUUCCAAAAUCUAUAAAGAACUUAUCAAACUCAACACCCAAAAAACAAAUAAUCCAGUGAAGAAAUGAACAAAAACAUAAAUAGACAAUUCUCCAAGGAAGACAUCCAGAUAGCCAACCAACACAUGAAAAAAUGCUCAACAUCACUCAUCAUCAGGAAAAUACAAAUCAAAACCACAAUGAGAUACCACCUCACCCCUGUCAGAAUGGCUAACAUUAACAACUCAGGCAACAACAGAUGUUGGCAAGGAUGUGGAGAAAGAGGAUCUCUUUUGCAUUGUUGGUGGCAAUGCAAGCUGGUGCAGCCACUCUGGAAAAUAGUAUGGAGUUUCCUCAAAAAACUAAAAAUAGAACUACCCCACAACCCAGGAAUUGCACUACUAGGCAUUUAUCCACGGGAAACAGGCGUGCUGUUUUGAAGGGACACAUGUACCCCCAUGUUUAUAGCAGCACUAUCAACAAUAGCCAAAGUAUGGAAAGAGCCCAAAUGUCCACUGAUGGAUGAAUGGAUAAAGAAGAUGUGGUAUAUAUGUACAAUGGAGUAUUACUCGGCAAUCAAAAAGAAUGAAAUCUUGCCAUUUGCAACUACGUGGAUGGAACUGGAGGGUAUUAUGUUAAGUGAAAUUUGUCAAUCAAAGGCAAAAAUCAUAUGAACUCACUCAUAUGAGGACUUUAAGAGACAAAAGAUGAACAUAAGGGAAGGGAAACAAAAAUAAUAUAAAAACAGGGAGGGGGACAAAACAGAAGAGACUCAUAAAUAUGGGGAACAAACAGAGGUUUACUGGAAGGGUUGUGGGAGGGGGGAUGGGUAAAGGGCACCUUAAUGGGUAAGGGGCACUAAGGAAUCUACUCCUGAAAUCAUUGUUGCACUAUAUGCUAACUAAUUUGGAUGUAAAUUUUAAAAAAUUAAAAAUUAAAAAUAAUAAAAAAAUAAAAAACAAAAGAAGAAAAAAAUGAAUAAACAUUUAAAAAUUAAUAAAAAAUAAGAGAUAAAAUUAUAAGCCACAAUGCAUUCACUAACAAUAAGAAAUAUGAAAUUUGCACGAACUGAAAUACUCACCUCACCCUGUCAUGAGUGGUACAUUUCCUUCAUACAGACAUGCUAAAUACUUGUCUCCUGGGAUCCUGAAAUCAGAACAAAAGGAGUUAGCUAGUGGGCACCUGUCUGGUUCACAUAAGGGUCUGAGCAACAUGAGCUCAAUUUCCUGUUCUGAUUGUUCAAAAACUUAGUCUAUUUGGUUUCAUGUAUUCACAAAUUCUCACUGUUGGUUAUUUGAAAGAUGAGAUCUGGACACAGAAGCAGGUCUUAGGCUGAUAAGUGUGUGGUGAGAAUGCAUUCUGGAGUAGGCACAAACAGCGCAUAUUCAGGCAGUGCCAUGAACUGAAGUCACGCUAAGGCUUCAGGGGAAAGAAAUUACCAUGGGAGAGCACAUGUGCUAAAUAAUCAGUGCACUAUUGGGGCACCUGGGUGGUUCAGUUGGUUAACAUCCCACUCUUGACUUCAGCUCAGGUCACGAUCCCACGGUCGGUUUGUGAGUUUGAGCCCCAUAUCAGGCUCUGCACUGGCAGUGUGGAGCCUGCUUGGGAUUCUCUCUCUCUCUCUCUCUCUCUCUCUCUGCGCCUUCCCAGUUCAUGCUCUCUUUGUCUGUCUCUCAAAAUAAAUAAAUAAACAUUUAAAUAAAUAAAUAAAUAAAUAAAUAGUGCACUGUGGCUAUGAGAGUGGAAUAUCUCUGAAUCUGUGAGAGCCAGAUAAAUUAUAUUAACAUAAAUUCAGAGUAUUAUUCAUAUUAUCCACUUAGGUAAAAUAAUUAGGUAUAUAUGCAUAGAAACAAGGUAUUAAAGUAUACAUAAAACAUUAUGAGUGGCUUUCCUAUAUAAAGAAACUUCUAUGGAAACAUGAGUGUUCUUUCUUUUCUUUGUGCCUUAUCUAUGAUUUCAAAAUUAUCCCAAACAAAGAUGAGCUACUUAUGCAAUCAGCUAGCUACUACCUUAUUGAUAGAAAAAGUUAAUUAAAAAUUAGUUAGAAUUAGUUAUAAAAUUCAUUAAAAAUUAGUUAGAAAAAAGACUGAAGGUCUUCCAUACUCCCUAGAACAACAGUUAUUGGUAUAGCUUGGAUGACAUUUGAUAUCAACAAGUUAAGACCACAGGAAACACUGUGGAGGAGAGUGGAAAGGGGGACCACUCAGAAGAGUAUAAGAAGGGCAAUGGUGCUGAGGAAUUUGGGCUAAAAACUGGAAGGGACUAUUUUUAGUAGAGGAAUUUUAAGUGCCCCUCCCACUGGCACAGCCAGCACCAAAAAUAUUUAUCUUGCAUGGGAUGAUCAUAAUGUGGGCAUGAAUGAUCAGAGGAGCAAGUGCCAAUAUAAUCAGUCUCUCAUCGGUUAGGAACUCCGGCAGCUGGUCCCAGACUCCUUUGGUGGUUGCCUUGGACACUGUGUAGAACACACAGGACAUGCUGUUGCUGCAUUAAACCAACUCACUUUAUUUCAAGGGCAAUCCAGAGUCCAUAGCAACAUGUCAUCCUGCCUGGGUGCAAUGGCGGCCAGUCUUUCUGUGCACCCAAUCUCCUGUAUCUACGGAAGGGUCAGUUGCUAGGGCUCUAUGGCGGUAUAUCGGGGUUCUACCCUCUUCUUGUGCUAGGACCAAAAUUCCAGGGGCACUCUGUCCUUCUGUUGUCUCUGUCACAGUGCCUGACCCAGCCCUUCUGGAGUCACAGACACAUCGAACUCAAAUGCUGGCCCUGCUUUGGAGAUGCCCAGAGCUUUCAUCUGCUUCACUAGUACUUUUGUCUUCUCAAAGAUCCUGCCUCAGGUUUAUUUGUGCAACUAGCACAGAAAGAUACCAGCCCCUGCAGAUAGAAGCCCAGGGUAACACCAGUCCUUCUGUCCUCACAUUGGCAGACAGAAGCCUCCAUAUUAGAGCCUUUAUCAGGGACCCG